rnacentral:tRNA from 1 species
GGUCUCGUAGCUCAACUGGUAGAGCGUGGCACUGUACAAAAGCGUAGGUGGCGUCCAUGCGUGGGUUCGAAUCCCAACGAGGCUA